UUUCGUAAUAUGGACGUCAAUGGCUAUCGUCAGUUUGGUUAUCAGCAUUCUUCAAAAUAUCUUCUUUUUAUGUGCAGCAGAAGAA